CCAGGCUUGAACAGCGAGUGACUACUUCCGAAAGGGAGCUUCCGCAAGGACACUCGUAGAGGUGCUGCAUGGCUGUCGUCAGCUCGUGUCGUGAGAUGUUGGGUUAAGUCCCGCAACGAGCGCAACCCUUGUCUUCUGUUGCCAUCAGGUUAUGCUGGGCACUCUGAAGAGACUGACGGUGAUAAACCGGAGGAAGGUGGGGAUGACGUCAAGUCAGCAUGGCCUUUAUGUCUGGGGCUACACACGUGCUACAAUGGCAGAUACAAACCGUCGCGAGACCGCAAGGUGGAGCUAAUCGGAGAAAGUCUGUCUCAGUUCGGAUCGUAGGCUGCAACUCGCCUGCGUGAAGUUGGAAUCGCUAGUAAUCGCGGAUCAGCACGCCGCGGUGAAUACGUUCCC
rnacentral:rRNA from 1 species